rnacentral:misc_RNA from 1 species
GAUGAAGAACGCAGCGAAAUGCGAUAAGUAAUGUGAAUUGCAGAAUUCAGUGAAUCAUCGAAUCUUUGAACGCACCUUGCACUCCUUGGUAUUCCGAGGAGUACGCCUGUUCGAGUGUUAUGAAGCUCUCAAAACGCAAUUGGCUUAAAACCUGAUUGUUGUUUUGGAUUUGAACUUUGCCGUGUUAUAACGGCUGGUUUUAAAAGUAUUAGCUGGUACUAGAACGAAUUGGUUCUACUCAACGUGAUAAUUAUCUGAUCGUUGAGGACAGUCCUUUCACGAGGAAUGGCCAUAGUAAAUUCAAUGGACUGCUUCUAAUCUGGCUUUAAUUCUUUAUUGGAUUAACCACUUUUCAAAUCUGACCUCGAAUCAGGUGGGACUACCCGCUGAACUUAAGCAUAUCAAUAAGCGGAGGA